UUACGACUAUAUCACGUUGAAACCACGGUUCUCGUACGAUCAGCGAAAUGAAUCAACGUCGGGCCCGUUCAGUACCUAGAUCGGUGACCGCUUAGGAAUAACAGCAGC